GGUUAAGCGACUAAGCGUACACGGUGGAUGCCCUGGCAGUCAGAGGCGAUGAAGGACGUGCUAAUCUGCGAUAAGCGUCGGUAAGGUGAUAUGAACCGUUAUAACCGGCGAUUUCCGAAUGGGGAAACCCAGUGUGAUUCGUCACACUAUCAUUAACUGAAUCCAUAGGUUAAUGAGGCGAACCGGGGGAACUGAAACAUCUAAGUACCCCGAGGAAAAGAAAUCAACCGAGAUUCCCCCAGUAGCGGCGAGCGAACGGGGAGCAGCCCAGAGCCUGAAUCAGUGUGUGUGUUAGUGGAAGCGUCUGGAAAGGCGCGCGAUACAGGGUGACAGCCCCGUACACAAAAAUGCACAUGCUGUGAGCUCGAUGAGUAGGGCGGGACACGUGGUAUCCUGUCUGAAUAUGGGGGGACCAUCCUCCAAGGCUAAAUACUCCUGACUGACCGAUAGUGAACCAGUACCGUGAGGGAAAGGCGAAAAGAACCCCGGCGAGGGGAGUGAAAAAGAACCUGAAACCGUGUACGUACAAGCAGUGGGAGCACAGAGCAAUCUGUGUGACUGCGUACCUUUUGUAUAAUGGGUCAGCGACUUAUAUUCUGUAGCAAGGUUAACCGAAUAGGGGAGCCGAAGGGAAACCGAGUCUUAACUGGGCGUUAAGUUGCAGGGUAUAGACCCGAAACCCGGUGAUCUAGCCAUGGGCAGGUUGAAGGUUGGGUAACACUAACUGGAGGACCGAACCGACUAAUGUUGAAAAAUUAGCGGAUGACUUGUGGCUGGGGGUGAAAGGCCAAUCAAACCGGGAGAUAGCUGGUUCUCCCCGAAAGCUAUUUAGGUAGCGCCUCGUGAAUUCAUCUCCGGGGGUAGAGCACUGUUUCGGCAAGGGGGUCAUCCCGACUUACCAACCCGAUGCAAACUGCGAAUACCGGAGAAUGUUAUCACGGGAGACACACGGCGGGUGCUAACGUCCGUCGUGAAGAGGGAAACAACCCAGACCGCCAGCUAAGGUCCCAAAGUCAUGGUUAAGUGGGAAACGAUGUGGGAAGGCCCAGACAGCCAGGAUGUUGGCUUAGAAGCAGCCAUCAUUUAAAGAAAGCGUAAUAGCUCACUGGUCGAGUCGGCCUGCGCGGAAGAUGUAACGGGGCUAAACCAUGCACCGAAGCUGCGGCAGCGACGCUUAUGCGUUGUUGGGUAGGGGAGCGUUCUGUAAGCCUGUGAAGGUGUACUGUGAGGUAUGCUGGAGGUAUCAGAAGUGCGAAUGCUGACAUAAGUAACGAUAAAGCGGGUGAAAAGCCCGCUCGCCGGAAGACCAAGGGUUCCUGUCCAACGUUAAUCGGGGCAGGGUGAGUCGACCCCUAAGGCGAGGCCGAAAGGCGUAGUCGAUGGGAAACAGGUUAAUAUUCCUGUACUUGGUGUUACUGCGAAGGGGGGACGGAGAAGGCUAUGUUGGCCGGGCGACGGUUGUCCCGGUUUAAG
rnacentral:rRNA from 1 species